AAAUGACUCUCGGCAACGGWUAUCUCGGCUCUCGCAUCGAUGAAGAAYKUWGCGAAAUGYGAUACUUGGUGUGAAYUGCAGAAUCCCGUGAACCAUCGAGUCUUUGAACGCAAGUUGCGCCCGAAGCCUUCGGGCCGAGGGCACGCCUGCCUGGGCGUCACGCA
rnacentral:rRNA from 1 species